GAAUUAUUGCUUGCUUACUUACAUUAUGAUUGUAUAAUGUAGAACAUCAUGAAAGCAAAAUGCUUUUCAAGUCUCUCUCACCCUAACACAAACAAAAUUUGCACAUCGAUUCAUCAAGAAUCAUAUCUGUAUGUGUAAUUAGACGAAACCUUACAUGUACAGAAUCUUUCGUCAAUCAUCUUCAUAAUCAGGUGAGCUUUGAUCAAAGAGGUGUGUUGCUUAACUGUACAACUUCAACCCCAGCAAAGCCAAAAAAUGGUAGUGUGGGUUAAUGGAUGUCUAGUAGCUCGUUUGAAAAAUGUUUAUAUGAGUGGUUCAAGUAUUUUUUCACUUGUAUACUCAGAAUCAUCAACUACAAAUGGCUUCCACUGAGAGUUUCUUUAGAACGUUUCGACAUGGAUCACCUCCAAAAUUCUCUGGUGUUACCUGUACUGAGCAAGACUCUUUCCCAACACAAUUCUUUUUGAAAGCAUCAUAUGAGCGCGGAGCAUGGCAGCUUCCCUGCUGGAAGUUCCCACAAACUCCCUCUGGUGUUCCAAAGCUUGCAAAUUU
rnacentral:misc_RNA from 1 species